rnacentral:rRNA from 1 species
AGAACGAACGCUGGCGGCAUGCCUAACACAUGCAAGUCGAACGGUAACAGGCCCUUCGGGGUGCUGACGAGUGGCGGACGGGUGAGUAAUGCGUAGGAAUCUACCCACGAGUGGGGGAUAGCCCGGAGAAAUCCGGAUUAAUACCGCAUAUGCCCUACGGGGUAAAGCGGGGGAUCGUAAGACCUCGCGCUGGUGGAUGAGCCUACGUCCGAUUAGUUAGUUGGUGGGGUAAAGGCCUACCAAGGCUACGACGGGUCGGCUGGUCUGAGAGGACGACCAGCCACACUGGCACUGAGAUACGGGCCAGACUCCUACGGGCGGCAGC